AACGAACGCUGGCGGCAUGCCUAACACAUGCAAGUCGAACGAGACCUUCGGGUCUAGUGGCGCACGGGUGCGUAACGCGUGGGAACCGGCCCUUAGGUUCGGAAUAACUCCCCGAAAGGGGUGCUAAUACCGGAUAAUGUCUUCGGACCAAAGAUUUAUCGCCUUUGGAUGGGCCCGCGUUGGAUUAGCUAGUUGGUAGGGUAAAAGCCUACCAAGGCGACGAUCCAUAGCUGGUCUGAGAGGAUGAUCAGCCACACUGGGACUGAGACACGGCCCAGACUCCUACGGGAGGCAGCAGUGGGGAAUAUUGGACAAUGGGCGAAAGCCUGAUCCAGCAAUGCCGCGUGAGUGAUGAAGGCCUGAGGGUUGUAAAGCUCUUUUACCCGGGAUGAUAAUGACAGUACCGGGAGAAUAAGCUCCGGCUAACUCCGU
rnacentral:rRNA from 1 species